AUUGAACGCUGGCGGCAGGCUUAACACAUGCAAGUCGAGCGAGCGGCGGACGGGUGAGUAAUGUCUGGGAAACUGCCUGAUGGAGGGGGAUCAAUACUGGAAAAGGUGGCUAAUACCGCAUACCAUCAGAUGUGCCCAGAUGGGAUUAGCUAGUAGGUGGGGUAAUGGCUCACCUAGGCGACGAUCCCUAGCUGGUCUGAGAGGAUGACCAGCCACAAUGGAACGGAGAAACGGUCCAGACGCCUACGUGAGGCAGCAGUGGGGAAUAUUGCACAAUGGGCGCAAGCCUGAUGCAGCCAAGCCGCGUGUGUUAAGAAGGCCUUCGGGUUGUAAAGCACUUUCAGCGAGGAGGCGUGACUCGCAGAGGGAGCACCGGCUAACUCCGUGCCAGCAGCCGCGGUAAUAC
rnacentral:rRNA from 1 species